rnacentral:rRNA from 1 species
AACUUCUGAAUGUUGACCUCGGAUCAGGUAGGAAUACCCGCUGAACUUAAGCAUAUCAAUAAGCGGAGGAAAAGAAACCAACAGGGAUUGCCCUAGUAACGGCGAGUGAAGCGGCAACAGCUCAAAUUUGAAAUCUGGCUUUCGGGCCCGAGUUGUAAUUUGUAGAGGAUGACCUUGAUGCGGUGCCUUCCGAGUUCCCCUGGAACGGGACGCCAUAGAGGGUGAGAGCCCCGUCUGGUUGGAUGCCAAAUCUCUGUAAGUCUCCUUCGACGAGUCGAGUAGUUUGGGAAUGCUGCUCUAAAUGGGAGGUAUAUGUCUUCUAAAGCUAAAUACCGGCCAGAGACCGAUAGCGCACAAGUAGAGUGAUCGAAAGAUGAAAAGCACUUUGAAAAGAGAGUUAAAAAGUACGUGAAAUUGUUGAAAGGGAAGCGUUUAUGACCAGACUUGGGCUUGGUUAAUCAUCUGGGGUUCUCCCCAGUGCACUUUUCCAGUCCAGGCCAGCAUCAGUUUUCGCCGGGGGAUAAAGACUUCGGGAAUGUGGCUCCUCUCGGGGAGUGUUAUAGCCCGUUGUGUAAUACCCUGGCGGGGACUGAGGUUCGCGCUUCUGCAAGGAUGCUGGCGUAAUGGUCAUCAACGACCCGUCUUGAAACACGGACCAAGG